rnacentral:rRNA from 1 species
GUUCGUAAUGGCGAAUGAACACUGUUUUACCAUCAUCGAACCGUACAUCUAUCCGGUGUAUGGAGUGUGAUGUUGGUGCAAAAUCGCUCGUUCUCUGGAAGUCAUUCAAGUUUGAUUGAUUGCAACCUUCAUAGAGGGUGAAAGACCCGUAUUUUUACUUCCUCUGAACUGUGGUUUUGCGCACGAGUAAAGCUGUUUCGAAUUGCAGCUCGAAUAGACGUGGUGAACUCCACGUAAGAUUCGAUAUUUUCGCGAGACCGAUAGAGAACAAGUACCGUGAGGGAAAGUUGAAAAGUACUCUGGAAAGAGAGUGAACAAGCCUGUGCAACUGUACAUUGCAAAGCGAAUGACAGAUUGUGAAAAUCCGUUGUUCAAACUGCCACGUAUUUUGAACUGCUACUAUUAUUGUAGUUUCAUUGUUUCCGGUUGCUUAUUCAACGGAACUUCUCAUGCGCCGCCAGCGACUCGCGAUUUUGCAAGUGUACGAGCAAAUAUCUUUGAUGCUUGUUGUACUAAUGCAAUUGCACAUUUGUUGCAGUAGCAAAAGUUCCUGGUGGACGUUGAUUACUCAACCACUUUAAUGUUGCAUGUGUAUUUUUACUGUAUAUGCGCAUUUGUUGAGUUCAAUCGUUUUGCAUGAGCUCAAAUGUCUGUCAUCUGGACCGUCUUGAAACACGGACUAAGGAGUUCAACUUGAGCGCAAGUCGACUACAUGAUUAACGUUUGGGGCGAAGUGAAAGCGAUAUUUGCAUAUUGUUAACGGAUGCUUUUACGCUGAAGGUUACCACAUUUUAUGGGUGGCACUUUUCUUGAUUGAUGCCUACCGCAAAUGAGCGCUUUGGUUGUGACCCGAAAGAUGGUGAACUAUGCCUGAUUAGGACGAAGCCAGGGGAAACUCUGGUGGAGGUCCGCAACGAUUUUGACGUGCAAAUCAAUCGCCGGAGUUGGGUAUAGCGGCGAAAGACUAAUCGAACCAUCUAGUUGCUGGUUCCGUUCGAAGUUUCCCUCAA